GACGAACGCUGGCGGCGUGCCUAAUACAUGCAAGUCGAACGCAGUGGGGACGGGUGAGUAACACGUGGGUAACCUCCCAUCAGAGGGGAUAACACUUGGAAACAGGUGCUAAACCGAUACUGAUGGAUGGACCCGCGGUGCAUUAGCUAGUUGGGGAGGUAACGGCUCACCAAGGCCACGAUGCAUAGGCGACCUGAGGGGUGGAAGCGCCACACCGGUAAUGAGAAACGGCCCCGAAUCCCAAGGGAGGCAGGAGUAGGGAAUCUUCGGCAAUGGACGAAAGUUUGACCCAGCCACGCCGCGUGGGUGAAGAAGGUUUUCGGAUUGUAAAGCUCUUUUGUUAGGGAAGCGGUAUCUAACCAGAAAGCCACGGCUAACUACGUGCCAGCAGCCGCGGUAAUAC
rnacentral:rRNA from 1 species